rnacentral:rRNA from 1 species
UACGUAGGUGGCAAGCGUUGUCCGGAUUUACUGGGCGUAAAGAGCGCGCAGGCGGUCGUCCAAGUCGCGUGUGAAAGCCCCCGGCUCAACUGGGGAGGGUCACGCGAUACUGGUCGACUCGAAGGCAGGAGAGGGUAGUGGAAUUCCCGGUGUAGUGGUGAAAUGCGUAGAUAUCAGGAGGAAUACCGAUGGCGAAGGCAGGUCUCUGGGCUGACACUGACGCUCAUGCACGAAAGCGUGGGGAGCAAACAGG